rnacentral:rRNA from 1 species
UACGUAGGGGGCAAGCGUUGUCCGGAUUUAUUGGGCGUAAAGAGCUCGUAGGCGGUUGGGCAAGUCACGUGUGAAAUCUCCACGCUCAACGUGGAGGCGCCACGUGAGACUGCCCUGACUCGAGUCCGGGAGAGGGGGGUGGAAUUCCCAGUGUAGCGGUGAAAUGCGUAGAUAUUGGGAGGAACACCGGUGGCGAAGGCGGCCCCCUGGACCGGUACUGACGCUGAGGCGCGAAAGCGUGGGUAGCAAACGGG